rnacentral:rRNA from 1 species
GGGUGACUGCGUACCUUUUGUAUAAUGGGUCAGCGACUUAUAUUCUGUAGCAAGGUUAACCGUAUAGGGGAGCCGAAGGGAAACCGAGUCUUAACUGGGCGUUAAGUUGCAGGGUAUAGACCCGAAACCCGGUGAUCUAGCCAUGGGCAGGUUGAAGGUUGGGUAACACUAACUGGAGGACCGAACCGACUAAUGUUGAAAAAUUAGCGGAUGACUUGUGGCUGGGGGUGAAAGGCCAAUCAAACCGGGAGAUAGCUGGUUCUCCCCGAAAGCUAUUUAGGUAGCGCCUCGUGAACUCAUCUUCGGGGGUAGAGCACUGUUUCGGCUAGGGGGUCAUCCCGACUUACCAACCCGAUGCAAACUGCGAAUACCGAAGAAUGUUAUCACGGGAGACACACGGCGGGUGCUAACGUCCGUCGUGAAGAGGGAAACAACCCAGACCGCCAGCUAAGGUCCCAAAGUCACAGUUAAGUGGGAAACGAUGUGGGAAGGCUCAGACAGCCAGGAUGUUGGCUUAGAAGCAGCCAUCAUUUAAAGAAAGCGUAAUAGCUCACUGGUCGAGUCGGCCUGCGCGGAAGAUGUAACGGGGCUAAACUGUGCACCGAAGCUGCGGCAGCGACGCUUAUGCGUUGUUGGGUAGGGGAGCGUUCUGUAAGCCUGCGAAGGUGUCCUGUGAGGGAUGCUGGAGGUAUCAGAAGUGCGAAUGCUGACAUAAGUAACGAUAAUGCGGGUGAAAAGCCCGCUCGCCGGAAGACCAAGGGUUCCUGUCCAACGUUAAUCGGGGCAGGGUGAGUCGACCCCUAAGGCGAGGCCGAAAGGCGUAGUCGAUGGGAAACGGGUUAAUAUUCCCGUACUUGGUGUUACUGCGAAGGGGGGACGGAGAAGGCUAUGUUGGCCGGGCGACGGUUGUCCCGGUUUAAGCGUGUAGGCUGGUUUUCCAGGCAAAUCCGGAAAAUCAAG